AUUCCAGCUCCAAUAGCGUAUAUUAAAGUUGUUGCGGUUAAAAAGCUCGUAGUUGGAUUUCUGCCGAGGACGACCGGUCCGCCCUCUGGGUGAGCAUCUGGCACGGCCUGGUCAUCCUCUUGGAGAACGUAGCUGCACUUGACUGUGUGGGGCGGUAUCCAGGACUUUUACUUUGAGGAAAUUAGAGUGUUCAAAGCAGGCCUAUGCUCUGAAUAGGUUAGCAUGGAAUAAUAGAAUAGGACUUUGGUUCUAUUUUGUUGGUUUCUAGAGCUGAGGUAAUGAUUGAUAGGGAUAGUUGGGGGCAUUCGUAUUUAACUGUCAGAGGCGAAAUUCUUGGAUUUGUUAAAGACGGACUACUGCGAAAGCAUUUGCCAAGGAUGUUUUCAUCG
rnacentral:rRNA from 1 species